rnacentral:rRNA from 1 species
CGUAGGUGGCGAGCGUUGUCCGGAAUUAUUGGGCGUAAAGGGAGCGCAGGCGGGAGGUCAAGUCUAUCUUAAAAGUGCGGGGCUCAACCCCGUGAGGGGAUGGAAACUGGUCUUCUUGAGUGCAGGAGAGGAAAGCGGAAUUCCUAGUGUAGCGGUGAAAUGCGUAGAUAUUAGGAGGAACACCAGUGGCGAAGGCGGCUUUCUGGACUGUAACUGACGCUGAGGCUCGAAAGCGUGGGGAGCGAACAGGAUAGAUACCC